rnacentral:rRNA from 1 species
AUUGAACGCUGGCGGCAUGCUUUACACAUGCAAGUCGAACGGCAGCGCGGGCUUCGGCCUGGCGGCGAGUGGCGAACGGGUGAGUAAUACAUCGGAACGUGCCCAGUAGUGGGAGAUAGCUCGGCGAAAGCCGGAUUAAUACCGCAUACGACCUGAGGGUGAAAGCGGGGGAUCUUCGGACCUCGCGCUAUUGGGGCGGCCGAUGGCAGAUUAGCUAGUUGGUGGGGUAAAGGCCUACCAAGGCGACGAUCUGUAGCUGGUCUGAGAGGACGACCAGCCACACUGGGACUGAGACACGGCCCAGACUCCUACGGGAGGCAGCAGUGGGGAAUUUUGGACAAUGGGCGAAAGCCUGAUCCAGCAAUGCCGCGUGUGUGAUGAAGGCCUUCGGGUUGUAAAGCACUUUUGGCGGGAACGAAAAGGACUGUGCCAAUACCACGGUUCGAUGACGGUACCCGCAGAAUAAGCACCGGCUAACUACGUG